rnacentral:rRNA from 1 species
GGACGGUAGCACAGAGAGCUUGCUCUUGGGUGACGAGUGGCGGACGGGUGAGUAAUGUCUGGGGAUCUGCCCGAUAGAGGGGGAUAACCACUGGAAACGGUGGCUAAUACCGCAUAACGUCGCAAGACCAAAGAGGGGGACCUUCGGGCCUCUCACUAUCGGAUGAACCCAGAUGGGAUUAGCUAGUAGGCGGGGUAAUGGCCCACCUAGGCGACGAUCCCUAGCUGGUCUGAGAGGAUGACCAGCCACACUGGAACUGAGACACGGUCCAGACUCCUACGGGAGGCAGCAGUGGGGAAUAUUGCACAAUGGGCGCAAGCCUGAUGCAGCCAUGCCGCGUGUAUGAAGAAGGCCUUCGGGUUGUAAAGUACUUUCAGCGGGGAGGAAGGCGGUGCGGUUAAUAACCGCGUCGAUUGACGUUACCCGCAGAAGAAGCACCGGCUAACUCCGUG